ensembl:snRNA U2 U2 spliceosomal RNA
AAACACUCUUGGCCUUUUGACUCAGAUCAAGUGUAGUAUCUGCUCUUAUCAGUUUAAUAUCUGAUAUGUCCUCCUUCUGAGGACAGUAAAUAAAUAAAAUGACUUUCUGGAGGUGGGAGAUGGAGCAGAAGCUUGUUCCAUCCACUCUGCCUUCAACCUGACCUGGUAGUCUAAUCAGGAAAAAAACUUAG